GAUUUCUGGUUUGGAUGCGCCUUGCCCGCCAUGGUUUCAUGUGUGAGUGCCGGUUGUGCGUCUGCCAUCCUUCUAACUACAAUUCCUUUGUUCUUCGGAAUGAAUGGUGAUUGGAGUUAGAUCUUUUACUUUGAAAAAAUUAGAGUGUUUCAAGCAGGCAUUUUUGCUAUGAAUACAUUAGCAUGGAAUAAUAAUUUAGGACUUCGGUUCUAUUUUGUUGGUUUCUAGAACUGCAGUAAUGAUUGAUAGGGAUAGUUGGGGGUGCUAGUAUUCAGUGGCCAGAGGUGAAAUUCUCGGAUUCACUGAAGACUAACUUAUGCGAAAGCAUU
rnacentral:rRNA from 1 species